rnacentral:rRNA from 1 species
UAGGGAAUCUUCCACAAUGGGCGCAAGCCUGAUGGAGCAACACCGCGUGAGUGAAGAAGGGUUUCGGCUACGUAAAGCUCUGUUGUUAAAAGAAGAACACGUAUGAGAGUAACUGUUCAUACGUUGACGGUAUUUAACCAGAAAGUCACGGCUAACUACGUGCCA